rnacentral:rRNA from 1 species
UACGAAGGGGGCUAGCGUUGCUCGGAAUCACUGGGCGUAAAGGGUGCGUAGGCGGGUCUUUAAGUCAGUGGUGAAAGCCCGGAGCUCAACUCCGGAACUGCCAUUGAAACUGUAAAGCUCGAGGACGAGAGAGGUGAAUGGAAUUCCCAGUGUAGAGGUGAAAUUCGUAGAUAUUGGGAAGAACACCGGUGGCGAAGGCGGCUCACUGGCUC